rnacentral:rRNA from 1 species
UACAGAGGGUGCAAGCGUUGUUCGGAAUUACUGGGCGUAAAGCGCGUGUAGGCGGCUCUUUAAGUCGGAUGUGAAAUCCCUCGGCUCAACCGAGGAACUGCAUCCGAUACUGGGGAGCUUGAGUGUCGGAGGGGAUGGUAGAAUUCCUGGUGUAGAGGUGAAAUUCGUAGAUAUCAGGAGGAAUACCUGUGGCGAAGGCGACCAUCUGGAAGACAACUGACGCUGAGACGCGAAAGCGUGGGUAGCAAACAGG